rnacentral:rRNA from 1 species
CUACGGAGGGUGCAAGCGUUAAUCGGAAUUACUGGGCGUAAAGCGCGCGUAGGCGGCUUGUUAAGUCAGAUGUGAAAGCCCUGGGCUCAACCUGGGAACUGCAUUUGAUACUGGCAAGCUAGAGUAUGGUAGAGGAUAGUGGAAUUCCAGGUGUAGCGGUGAAAUGCGUAGAUAUCUGGAGGAACAUCAGUGGCGAAGGCGGCUGUCUGGACCAAUACUGACGCUGAGGUGCGAAAGCGUGGGGAGCAAACAGGAUUAGAUACCCUAGUAGUCC